GGAAAGUUUUAAUCGUGUAUUGGAUUUGGUUUUUCUUACUUUUUCCUUCUGUGCGUAAUCAUUAACUACAUUGCGGUAACAAAGGCAUUAAGCGUAAAAAAACUUUUCAAAGAAAAAAGAAAAUCGGGAAAAAUUCGACGAAGAGUUUAUCGCGUUUAAACACUUGAAUUGAAAUAGCACGAUUUUCAAAAUUGAAGCACUAUACGAGUGAAAGAACGUAAUUUGCAUAACUUUCUGUAUUAAUCAUCACCUCUUUUCCAAGAUUCAACUAAACAAGCGAAAAGAUGACUAAUAUAUUUCUGUUCGUUACUCUAUUGAUCUUGUCUUUGCUUCCGGUUUCACAAGCGCCUGCUUCAAAUAAAGAUGGUAAG